CAAGUAUGAAGGCCAGGCUGAAGACUUUGCGGAUUAGCUGAGAGGUGGUGCAUGGCCGUCGUCAGUUCGUACUGUGAAGCAUCCUGUUAAGUCAGGCAACGAGCGAGACCCACGCCCACAGUUGCCAGCGUACUCUCUGGAGUGACGGGUACACUGUGGGGACCGCCGCUGCUAAAGCGGAGGAAGGAAUGGGCAACGGUAGGUCAGUAUGCCCCGAAUGUCCCGGGCUACACGCGGGCUACAAUGGGUGGGACAAUGGGUAUCGACACCGAAAGGUGAAGGCAAUCUCCUAAACCCAUCCGUAGUUCGGAUUGUGGGCUGCAACUCGCCCACAUGAAGCUGGAAUCUGUAGUAAUCGUGUCUCAAAAUGGCACGGUGAAUAUGUCCCUGCUCCUU
rnacentral:rRNA from 1 species